AGUCGAACGCGUUGGCCCAAUUGAUUGAUGGUGCUUGCACCUGAUUGAUUUUGGUCGCCAACGAGUGGCGGACGGGUGAGUAACACGUAGGUAACCUGCCCAGAAGCGGGGGACAACAUUUGGAAACAGAUGCUAAUACCGCAUAACAGCGUUGUUCGCAUGAACAACGCUUAAAAGAUGGCUUCUCGCUAUCACUUCUGGAUGGACCUGCGGUGCAUUAGCUUGUUGGUGGGGUAACGGCCUACCAAGGCGAUGAUGCAUAGCCGAGUUGAGAGACUGAUCGGCCACAAUGGGACUGAGACACGGCCCAUACUCCUACGGGAGGCAGCAGUAGGGAAUCUUCCACAAUGGGCGCAAGCCUGAUGGAGCAACACCGCGUGAGUGAAGAAGGGUUUCGGCUCGUAAAGCUCUGUUGUUAAAGAAGAACACGUAUGAGAGUAACUGUUCAUACGUUGACGGUAUUUAACCAGAAAGUCACGGCUAACUACGUGCCAGCAGCCGCGGUAAUACGUAGGUGGCAAGCGUUAUCCGGAUUUAUUGGGCGUAAAGAGAGUGCAGGCGGUUUUCUAAGUCUGAUGUGAAAGCCUUCGGCUUAACCGGAGAAGUGCAUCGGAAACUGGAUAACUUGAGUGCAGAAGAGGGUAGUGGAACUCCAUGUGUAGCGGUGGAAUGCGUAGAUAUAUGGAAGAACACCAGUGGCGAAGGCGGCUACCUGGUCUGCAACUGACGCUGAGACUCGAAAGCAUGGGUAGCGAACAGGAUUAGAUACCCUGGUAGUCCAUGCCGUAAACGAUGAGUGCUAGGUGUUGGAGGGUUUCCGCCCUUCAGUGCCGGAGCUAACGCAUUAAGCACUCCGCCUGGGGAGUACGACCGCAAGGUUGAAACUCAAAGGAAUUGACGGGGGCCCGCACAAGCGGUGGAGCAUGUGGUUUAAUUCGAAGCUACGCGAAGAACCUUACCAGGUCUUGACAUCUUGCGCCAACCCUAGAGAUAGGGCGUUUCCUUCGGGAACGCAAUGACAGGUGGUGCAUGGUCGUCGUCAGCUCGUGUCGUGAGAUGUUGGGUUAAGUCCCGCAACGAGCGCAACCCUUGUUACUAGUUGCCAGCAUUAAGUUGGGCACUCUAGUGAGACUGCCGGUGACAAACCGGAGGAAGGUGGGGACGACGUCAGAUCAUCAUGCCCCUUAUGACCUGGGCUACACACGUGCUACAAUGGACGGUACAACGAGUCGCGAACUCGCGAGGGCAAGCAAAUCUCUUAAAACCGUUCUCAGUUCGGACUGCAGGCUGCAACUCGCCUGCACGAAGUCGGAAUCGCUAGUAAUCGCGGAUCAGCAUGCCGCGGUGAAUACGUUCCCGGGCCUUGUACACACCGCCCGUCACACCAUGAGAGUUUGUAACACCCAAAGUCGGUGGGGUAACCUUUUA
rnacentral:rRNA from 1 species